AAAUUUUAGUGUUUAGAGUUGAAGGUUUAGGGUUUAGAGUUGAUGUUUUAGGGUUUAGGGUUAAUUUUUUAGGGUUUAGGGUUUAGAGUUUACUUUUUAGGGUUUAAGGUUUAGUGAUGAUAGUUUAGGGUUUAGUGUUGAUGGUUUAGGGCUUAAAGUUUAAGUUUAGGGUUUAGGGUUUAAAGUUGAUGUUUUAGGGUUUAAAGUCGAAGGUUUAGGGUUUAGAGUUGAUGUUUCGGGGUUUAGGGUUUAAAGUUGAUGUUUCGGGGUUUAGGGUUCGUAUUUAAACAAAAUAGUGUUUAAGAUUGAUGGUUUAGGGUUUAGGGUUCGUAUUUCAAAAAAAAUAGGGUUUAGGAUUGAUGGUUUAGGGUUUAGAGUUGAGUUUUAGGGUUUAGAGUUUGAAUUUCGAAAUAGUAUAAUUCGAAAAAAUAUUAAAAAUAUUAUUUUUUAUUUUUUUAGAUUUUUAUUUAUUUAAAUAUUUAUUUAUCAUAUAUAUAAAGAAAAAGUGCUUAAGAGUCUUUUGCCACCUAAUGAAGAA
rnacentral:lncRNA from 1 species